rnacentral:rRNA from 1 species
UCGCAAUGCCCGAAAGGGUGACGAAGCGACGCCGCGUGUGGGAAGAAGGCCUUCGGGUUGUAAACCACUGUCGGGAGUUAAGAAAUGUAAGGAUGUUAAUAGCGUCCUUACUUGACUAAGGCUCCGGAGGAAGCCACGGCUAACUCUGUGCCAGCAGCCGCGGUAAUACAGAGGUGGCAAGCGUUGUUCGGAAUUAUUGGGCGUAAAGAGCACGUAGGCGGCCUUGAAAGUCAGUUGUGAAAGCCUUCCGCUUAACGGAAGAACAGCAUCUGAUACUACAGGGCUUGAGUGCGGGAGGGGAGAGUGGAACUUCUGGUGGAGCGGUGAAAUGCGUAGAUAUCAGAAGGAACGCCGGCGGCGAAAGCGGCUCUCUGGCCCGUAACUGACGCUGAGUGUGCGAAAGCUAGGGGAUCAAACGGGAUUAGAUACCCCGGUAGUCCUAGCCGUAAACGAUGGGCACUAA